CACGACACACACACGCAUGUAGAGGGAGAGAGAGAAACCUUCCUUUCUCUCUCUAAAUCUCUCCCAAAAUUGGUGGCCUUGGUGGAGAUUGAAGCUUGGAAGUGAAUCGCCUUCGUCUUCUUCAUUUUCUCCAUGGUUUGGAGAUAGCCUUGAGGUAAACGAACGCGUUGGCGAAGACGGUUCGGCGAUUCGUCAAGUCGUUACAAAGAUAUUGAAGAACAAUGUUUGGAGCUUUGUUUCCACCUGUAGGGCCGAGGCGGCGUCCAUAAAUCGUGAAAGUGGAUUCGGUGCUUCGUGGCACAUAACCGAAGACCUAUAAUUACCGGGGUUGCGAAGCGGAGCACGGUUGGUGCGCAAUUGCGAGUCUGGGCCGAGUCGGAUAGCGGGUGCCGCGGGCGACCGAUUGCAAGUGUCGACAAGCAAUCGGAACGCGAAACGAGGUUCGCAAGUGAGCGGCGCAGUGACGCGAGGAAAUGGCGUAGCUUCGUAGAUAGCGCUCUACCCCAAAGACCAGAGCUAGCAGUACCCCGUCGACAUAGCUUAGGAGUUAAAGAAAUGAAAACAACACAAUGUAACAUAAUGUAUUAAAGAUAUAAAUGUUGUAAUAACUUAGAUUGCAUUUAGAUGAAAAAGGAAUGGUAGUUGAGAUGUAAAAUGCAUGAAUAUGAAUGAAUGUAAUAACAUAGGAUGUGUUUAUAUUAUUUGAUA